UAAUUUGUUAUCCCUGUCAUAGAAAACCUUGGUGGAAUUCUGAGAGUGGUAAUAGUUUCAUAGCUCAUGCUGCCCAAGUAAUAGUGUGGAGCAGGCGUAUCUGUGCUUUACUUUUGCUACAAGCGCUAGAAGAUUGGCAUCACAAAUCAAAUCUUUGUAUUUUCAAUCUACAAUUCAGGUGGAUACAAUAUGUGUGCAUGUGCGCAUGGAAAGAACGCUCGUGUCGAUGACUUUGUCAACGGGGGAAAAAUGUGGUGUAGGCUGAUUUAUUUCAUACCUCGGUUGAAUCACUCAUCAGCCCGUCCCAAGAGGCCAAGACGCAUAGCUGACUUUUGACUUCAAUUUUUCAUAAUUUAAACCGAAAUAGUGUAGCGGCUGAAGAAAUAAAAUUUGAUUGCUCCCCCCUU
rnacentral:lncRNA from 1 species